GAUAGUCCCGUAUGCGAAAAACAAAGCUUAGCUAGCAGUAUCCUGAGUAGGGCGGGACACGAGGAAUCCUGUCUGAAUCCGGGUCGACCACGAUCCAACCCUAAAUACUAAUACCAGAUCGAUAGUGCACAAGUACCGUGAGGGAAAGGUGAAAAGAACUGAGGUGAUCAGAGUGAAAUAGAACCUGAAACCAUUUGCUUACAAUCAUUCAGAGCACUAUGUAGCAAUACAGUGUGAUGGACUGCCUUUUGCAUAAUGAGCCUGCGAGUUGUGGUGUCUGGCAAGGUUAAGCAAACGCGAAGCCGUAGCGAAAGCGAGUCUGAAUAGGGCGCUUAGUCAGAUGCUGCAGACCCGAAACGAAGUGAUCUAUCCAUGAGCAAGUUGAAGCUAGUGUAAGAACUAGUGGAGGACUGAACCCAUAGGCGUUGAAAAGCCCCGGGAUGACUUGUGGAUAGGGGUGAAAGGCCAAUCAAACUUCGUGAUAGCUGGUUCUCUCCGAAAUAUAUUUAGGUAUAGCGUUGUGUCGUAAUAUAAGGGGGUAGAGCACUGAAUGGGCUAGGGCAUACACCAAUGUACCAAACCCUAUCAAACUCCGAAUACCUUAUAUGUAAUCACAGCAGUCAGGCGGCGAGUGAUAAAAUCCGUCGUCAAGAGGGAAACAACCCAGACUACCAGCUAAGGUCCCUAAAUCUUACUUAAGUGGAAAACGAUGUGAAGUUACUUAAACAACCAGGAGGUUGGCUUAGAAGCAGCCAUCCUUUAAAGAAAGCGUAAUAGCUCACUGGUCUAGUGAUUUUGCGCGGAAAAUAUAACGGGGCUAAAGUAAGUACCGAAGCUGUAGACUUGCGCACAACUUAGAUUAUUUAAGUUUAGAAUAUGAGAAACUAAGUUAUAUUUUUACUGAUUUUUAUAGAGUAAAGAUAGAAAUAAAACUUAGUAAAAUCAGUAAAAAUAUUCUUAGGCUAAAGUUAAGUAGUUUAAGUUGUGUGCAAGUGGUAGGAGAGCGUUCUAUUUGCGUCGAAGGUAUACCGGUAAGGAGUGCUGGAGCGAAUAGAAGUGAGCAUGCAGGCAUGAGUAGCGAUAAUUAAUGUGAGAAUCAUUAACGCCGUAAACCCAAGGUUUCCUACGCGAUGCUCGUCAUCGUAGGGUUAGUCGGGUCCUAAGUCGAGUCCGAAAGGGGUAGACGAUGGCAAAUUGGUUAAUAUUCCAAUACCAACAUUAGUGUGCGAUGGAAGGACGCUUAGGGCUAAGGGGGCUAGCGGAUGGAAGUGCUAGUCUAAGGUCGUAGGAGGUUAUACAGGCAAAUCCGUAUAACAAUACUCCGAGAACUGAAAGGCUUUUUGAAGUCUUCGGAUGGAUAGAAGAACCCCUGAUGCCGUCGAGCCAAGAAAAGUUUCUAAGUUUAGCUAAUGUUGCCCGUACCGUAAACCGACACAGGUGGGUGGGAUGAGUAUUCUAAGGCGCGUGGAAGAACUCUCUUUAAGGAACUCUGCAAAAUAGCACCGUAUCUUCGGUAUAAGGUGUGGUUAGCUUCGUACUAGGAUUUACUCCGAAAGCGAAGAAACUUACAACAAAGAGUCCCUCCCGACUGUUUACCAAAAACACAGCACUCUGCUAACUCGUAAGAGGAUGUAUAGGGUGUGACGCCUGCCCGGUGCUCGAAGGUUAAUUGAUGGGGUUAGCAUUAGCGAAGCUCUUGAUCGAAGCCCGAGUAAACGGCGGCCGUAACUAUAACGGUCCUAAGG
rnacentral:rRNA from 1 species